UUUAAUAGCUAUCAGCAAAAUUGAAUAAGUUAACUGCAGAAUUAAAAGAUGAAAAAGAGAUGAACAAGUGCCUUAGGCAGAAUCAAACUCUGUGGCAGCAAAAAUUAAGUAUUUCUGAAAAGGCAUUGAAGGAAAUUAGAGAUGCCAAAGAUAAGGAAAUUCUUGAUUUGCAAGAACAAGUACGAGAUCUGAUGUUUUAUUUUGAUGCAAAGGAUAAACUCCAAGAUGUGCCUAAUGUAUCAUCUCAAGAAAUUCAAGAAGGACAAAUUGUGAUAGGAGAGGCUUCUGGAACUUCAACAGAAGCUACAAAACCACGUAAAAAGAAAAACCGCUGAAUUUUUCUUUUUGUAAUAAAACACGUAUAUGUUUCCAGAUAUUAUUGAUAAAGUGAUGUGUGGCUAUUGUUGAACAUACUUCCUUCAAAUUUUUUACUAUAUAUUUUUAUUAUGUAUAUUCUUGAAAAGUAUUAAAUAUUUUUCAUGUAAAAAGUUUUAAUAUAUCUCAAAUACUGUUUUAUAUCAUUUAGUUACAUUUAUCCUAAUUGUUUCUUAACCCGGGAGCACACGUGUGCUCAUAUAAGUUACACGAGCGCGCACACUGGAUCCAAAAGACCCGUUUCGUAUUUUUUGAAGAAAUGUUGUGAAUCUUCAGAAAAAGCGUUACAUCUAUGCCAAUAAUAAAUUUUGUGAUCAAACUUUAAAAGUAUGCACAUUAAAAUUUUUAAUUUCUCUAAAAAUUUUUUAAAGGAAUAGAAAAUCAUAUUAUAUAUUAGCAUUAGGAAAAAAAAUAGUAUACCUUUACUCUGUAUUGAUUCAUUAUUAGCAGUAUAGACACGGAGAAAAAAUACAACAACAAAUGUUAGCAGCACAUUAAGCAAAGUAUUGUCGUGUGUUCCAAAUACAAGUAUUUUUCACAUUCGACAUAGCACAUUAUCUUUUUUCUCUGUUUUUUCAUUGGACAAACACUGCGUCUUUUUUUCUUCCUUGUUUCUGAUAUUUUUUUCCCAAUAAAGCAGUUUAUGUCAUAUCAAUUUCUGAAUCAGUAUCAUUGUUAACUAAUAAUUCAUGAUCACUUCCUUCCUCAUUUUCUUUAAUACAUUCUUGAUCAGUUGCUACAUCUAAUAACUUUUGCAACAUUUCUUUGUUGUAAGAUAAAUUGUGGGACAUGUUUGCCGCUUUUUAUGCUAUCACAAAUCAACUAUGUAAUAGUAAUACAAGUAUGUGUGCUGUGUCUAAAAGACCCAAUUCAAUCAACAUCAAGACUCCGAAUUUAAGCCCCAGCGAAAAAACUUCAGUAUCAUAAAGUUGUCGAUCUCAGACAUGACUACAUUGGACCUGAAUAACUUGCGUGAAAUAUGCGUGCUUUGAGAAAGGUUUGUUGAAUCACUCAAGUCCAUUGGACCCAGUGCACAUGCUCGUGGGUUAAUACUGAUUAAAAUUAUCCCAGAUAUUUAGGUUAUACUAUAUUAUAAUUUCAUUAUUUUUUCAUUUGAAACAUUUAGAGUGACUGAACGUUAUUCAGAAACAGUAGUGCUAAUAUAAAUAUUAAAACAAUUUAAUGUACAAGUUAAGUAUGGAAAAAUAAAUUGGAUCGAAUUAAGUUGUUCCUGGAUUGAAAAAUUUCACAAGGAAAUAUUUAAUUGUUGUAAUUAUUCAUUAACUGCUGUGAUAAAAUAGAAACACAUAUCUAAAUAUAGAUAGUUUUUUCAAUCCUUAAAUAUUUAUUUAACUUCCAGUGCAUGGAAAAAAAAAAGAGAGCAAUUCAACAUUAAAGUGAAAUAUAACUCCAUCUAACUUUGAUAGAUCACCUCUUCAAUCAAAUGAUCGAGUGCAGUAGAAGCAACUACAUCUAUUCAAGCUGUUCCUUUACAUGCUUUUUGCUUGGUAUAUUUAUUCUUAUAUCCAGGCAUACAGUUUUCAGAAUGAACUAAUAAUAGGUGGGCUUAGAAGCUUUUGUUAUUGACUUCUGUAACUAUACCUAUUGAUGUAAUUUUACUCAAUAAUCAUUCUAUUUUUGAUCAAGAAGCUCUAGGAAACAAAAUAUAAUUACUCUUCAUUCAUUAUUCCUAUUCUCUCAAUGGUACAUUUGGCUCAACAGAUGUUAAGUGCUACAAUGAUAUUUCACAUUCACAAACAUUUAUGCUUUUUCUGAAUUCUAAAUCAAGCCCACUGAUAUGGCAUCUAGCUUUGCAGUCACCAUACUACAGCAUUUUUCAUAAAUGAGCUGCACUUUGCAAAUGUGGAUGAGCAUUAUCGUUUAUCUGAGGAAAAUAUGAACCAAUCACUACAACAUAAAUUUUCAUGUAUAGUUUAAAACUUAUUGCUGAUGUAUUUUCCAUUCAUAGUUCCACUUGUAAAUAUGUGAAGGCCAAAGAAUGAAGUCAGCUCGUACAAACACCGAACAAAAAUCAAGUGUGGUGUUCCGUAACACUAUUGGUAUUGGCUGUGUGCUUUUUGUUUGUCUAGACCAUAACAUCAUCCAAUCAGGCAAAUUUUAAGCAAUCAGGCAAAUUUUAAUUUAUCUAUGAAGAGACCAUCAGAUAACUAUGCUUUGAUUCAAGUCACCUACUGAUGACACCACUUUAAUCAUGCAUCCCCUGGAUAUAGGUCUCAAAAGGGGCAUAUAUACAAACUUGCAACACUUGAAGAUUUGAAUCCUGUACAUCUUGAGUAGUAGGUCAUCUUCAUUUAUUUAAUAAUAGUUACUCAGAAAGCUAGGGCUGUCACUUGACAAUUGCAUAUAUGACAGCGAUAUUACAGAUUGUUAAUCAAACAGGUUUUUUAACCUUAAGACAUUCAAAACAGAAAUCUCAUAUCUUUGGAACUGUUUUCAUAAGCAAAAAUUAACACAAUAGAAAUUCUUUUCUUUCAUAGUAGAUUGUCCUUUAGCACUUGUAGUCUUCUAGCACUGUACUAGCAUUGAGAAUUCUCCAAAUGCCUUCAAUGAAGAAUCAUCAGAUCCAAUUCAUCUUCAACCUAAUUCUAAUUCAUCUUCAAAAACAAGUCUAUGAAUGUUAAAGCUGUUGAAUGCAAGUAUGAAGCUUUUUCACAUUUGAUUGAAAGGUAUAAUUGCUAUUAAAUACUCUAUCUGAAUCCAACAAUAAAUUUUGUGUAACAAAAUCUCUAUGUAUAUAUAAUAUUUGGAGGUUAAAGUACAUGAUGUUGACUAGAUUUAACUUUUAAGAGAAAAAAUUCCAUUAAUAUUUUUUUGCUUCCAUUCUAGUUAAGUCUUGCAUAUUUAAUUUUACAAUAACUUCCUGUAUAUGUGUAAUAGUGAAACUUUGUAGAAUAUUUUCUUUCUUUUCUUUUUCUUUUUUUU